CACGUAGGGGACGAGCGUUGUCCGGAUUCAUUGGGCGUAAAGCGCGCGUAGGCGGCUCGGAAAGUCGGGCGUGAAAACCCGAGGCUCAACCUCGGGCCUGCAGUCGAUACGGGCAAACUAGAGUACUGCAGGGGAGACUGGAAUUCCUGGUGUAGCGGUGAAAUGCGCAGAUAUCAGGAGGAACACCGGUGGCGAAGGCGGGUCUCUGGGCAGUAACUGACGCUGAGGAGCGAAAGCGUGGGGAGCGAACAGG
rnacentral:rRNA from 1 species